rnacentral:rRNA from 1 species
AUUGAACGCUGGCGGCAUGCCUUACACAUGCAAGUCGAACGGCAGCACGGGAGCUUGCUCCUGGUGGCGAGUGGCGAACGGGUGAGUAAUACAUCGGAACGUGCCCUGAAGUGGGGGAUAACGUAGCGAAAGUUACGCUAAUACCGCAUAUUCUGUGAGCAGGAAAGCAGGGGAUCGUAAGACCUUGCGCUUUGGGAGCGGCCGAUGUCGGAUUAGCUAGUUGGUGGGGUAAAGGCUCACCAAGGCGACGAUCCGUAGCGGGUCUGAGAGGAUGAUCCGCCACACUGGAACUGAGACACGGUCCAGACUCCUACGGGAGGCAGCAGUGGGGAAUUUUGGACAAUGGGCGCAAGCCUGAUCCAGCCAUGCCGCGUGAGUGAAGAAGGCCUUCGGGUUGUAAAGCUCUUUCGGCGGGGAAGAAAUUGCGUGGGUUAAUACCCUGCGUAGAUGACGGUACCCGCAUAAGAAGCACCGGCUAACUACGUG